rnacentral:rRNA from 1 species
GCUCAGUAACACGUCGGUAACCUACCCUCGGGAGGGGGAUAACCCCGGGAAACUGGGGCUAAUCCCCCAUAGGCCUGGGGUACUGGAAGGUCCCCAGGCCGAAAGGGGCUCUGCCCGCCCGAGGAUGGGCCGGCGGCCGAUUAGGUAGUUGGUGGGGUAACGGCCCACCAAGCCGAAGAUCGGUACGGGCCAUGAGAGUGGGAGCCCGGAGAUGGACACUGAGACACGGGUCCAGGCCCUACGGGGCGCAGCAGGCGCGAAACCUCCGCAAUGCGGGCAACCGCGACGGGGGGACCCCCAGUGCCGUGGCACAGCCACGGCUUUUCCGGAGUGUAAAAAGCUCCGGGAAUAAGGGCUGGGCAAGGCCGGUGGCAGCCGCCGCGGUAAUACCGGCGGCCCAAGUGGUGGCCGCUAUUAUUGGGCCUAAAGCG